rnacentral:rRNA from 1 species
UACGUAGGGUGCGAGCGUUGUCCGGAAUCAUUGGGCGUAAAGACGCGUGUAGGCGGCUUGCUAAGUCUUGCGUGAAAUUUCGAGGCUCAACCUCGAAACGCCACUCGAUACUGCCAUGACUGGAGUCCGGUAGAGGAGUGCGGAAUUCCUGGUGUAGCGGUGAAAUGCGCAGAUAUCAGGAGGAACACCAACGGCGAAGGCAGCACUCGUGGGCCGGUACUGACGCUGAGGAGCGAAAGCGUGGGAGCAAACAGG